rnacentral:lncRNA from 1 species
AAUGCAUAUAAAUAUCCCUUUGUUACUUUUUUUUUUUUUCAGUGAAAUUGAAUGAUAAUGGUAUUAUUAAAGUAAAACUCUGAAGACCUGAUGGAAUUCAGAAAAUGCACAAGCUCUGAUUAAUAUUCUAAACAGAUCCAGCCUUUUCUAGGAACUCAGUAGCAGUCUAAGAUCAAGGAUUCACCUGGUUUCUUUUUAGAGAAAAACAUGAAAGCUGGAAUGAAGUUUUAUUGGAAGUUGUACACCUUCAUUAUCAGUAACUGGCAAAUGAGUAGUGGAGUGACAGAAGCCUGAAGUGUCCCUCUACUAGGAAGGAGUCCAUCAAAAGCUGAUAUGAAGCUGUAACAUCCUUCCUGGAAAUGGGAACCUUUCCACCAGAGUGAUGAUGGAUCAUCAGACUCACUCUAUCAAACAGAAAACUUAAUCUGCAAUAACUGAGGCUCAGGUAUGAUGCAAGA